rnacentral:rRNA from 1 species
GACGAACGCUGGCGGCGUGCUUAACACAUGCAAGUCGAACGGAAAGGCCCUGCUUUUGUGGGGUGCUCGAGUGGCGAACGGGUGAGUAACACGUGAGUAACCUGCCCUUGACUUUGGGAUAACUUCAGGGAACUGGGGCUAAUACCGGAUAGGAGCUCCUGCUGCAUGGUGGGGGUUGGAAAGUUUCGGCGGUUGGGGAUGGACUCGCGGCUUAUCAGCUUGUUGGUGGGGUAGUGGCUUACCAAGGCUUUGACGGGUAGCCGGCCUGAGAGGGUGACCGGGCACCUUGCGCCUGAGAUACGGCCCAGACUCCUACGUGAGGCAGCAGGGGGGAACAUUGCAGAAUGGGCGGAAGCCUGAUGUAGCAACGCCGCGUGCGGGAUGACGGCCUUCGGGUGGUAAACCGCUGUCGCCUGUGACGAAGCGUGGGUGACGGUAAUGGGUAAAGAAGCACCGGCUAACUACGUG